rnacentral:rRNA from 2 species
AUUAGCGGCGGACGGGUGAGUAACACGUGGGCAACCUGCCUAUAAGACUGGGAUAACUUCGGGAAACCGGAGCUAAUACCGGAUACGUUCUUUUCUCGCAUGAGAGAAGAUGGAAAGACGGUUUACGCUGUCACUUAUAGAUGGGCCCGCGGCGCAUUAGCUAGUUGGUGAGGUAAUGGCUCACCAAGGCGACGAUGCGUAGCCGACCUGAGAGGGUGAUCGGCCACACUGGGACUGAGACACGGCCCAGACUCCUACGGGAGGCAGCAGUAGGGAAUCUUCCGCAAUGGACGAAAGUCUGACGGAGCAACGCCGCGUGAACGAAGAAGGCCUUCGGGUCGUAAAGUUCUGUUGUUAGGGAAGAACAAGUACCAGAGUAACUGCUGGUACCUUGACGGUACCUAACCAGAAAGCCACGGCUAACUACGUGCCAGCAGCCGCGGUAAUACGUAGGUGGCAAGCGUUGUCCGGAAUUAUUGGGCGUAAAGCGCGCGCAGGUGGUUCCUUAAGUCUGAUGUGAAAGCCCACGGCUCAACCGUGGAGGGUCAUUGGAAACUGGGGAACUUGAGUGCAGAAGAGGAAAGUGGAAUUCCAAGUGUAGCGGUGAAAUGCGUAGAGAUUUGGAGGAACACCAGUGGCGAAGGCGACUUUCUGGUCUGUAACUGACACUGAGGCGCGAAAGCGUGGGGAGCAAACAGGAUUAGAUACC